CCCAGACAGCCAGGAUGUUGGCUUAGAAGCAGCCAUCAUUUAAAGAAAGCGUAAUAGCUCACUGGUCGAGUCGGCCUGCGCGGAAGAUGUAACGGGGCUAAACCAUGCACCGAAGCUGCGGCAGCGACACUAUGUGUUGUUGGGUAGGGGAGCGUUCUGUAAGCCUGUGAAGGUGGCCUGUGAGGGUUGCUGGAGGUAUCAGAAGUGCGAAUGCUGACAUAAGUAACGAUAAAGCGGGUGAAAAGCCCGCUCGCCGGAAGACCAAGGGUUCCUGUCCAACGUUAAUCGGGGCAGG
rnacentral:rRNA from 2 species